AGGGGUAUAGCCAAGCGGUUUAAGGCAGUAGGUUUUGAUCCUACCAUGCGAAGGUUCGAAUCCUUCUACCCCUUCCA
rnacentral:tRNA from 1 species